GCACGGGUGAGUAACACGUAUCCAACCUGCCGUCUACUCUUGGACAGCCUUCUGAAAGGAAGAUUAAUACAAGAUGGCAUCAUGAGUCCGCAUGUUCACAUGAUUAAAGGUAUUCCGGUAGACGAUGGGGAUGCGUUCCAUUAGAUAGUAGGCGGGGUAACGGCCCACCUAGUCUUCGAUGGAUAGGGGUUCUGAGAGGAAGGUCCCCCACAUUGGAACUGAGACACGGUCCAAACUCCUACGGGAGGCAGCAUG
rnacentral:rRNA from 1 species